rnacentral:rRNA from 1 species
UGCCCCAGUAACGGCGAGUGAAGCGGCAGGAGCUCAAAUUUGAAAUCUGAGGUCCCCGACCUCCGAGUUGUAAUUUGGAGAGGCAUCUUCGGGGGGGAGCGCCGGCCCAUGUUCCUUGGAACAGGACGUCACAGAGGGUGAGAAUCCCGUGCCUGGCCGGCUCCCUCCUCCCGGGUGAAGGGCCUUCGACGAGUCGAGUUGUUUGGGAAUGCAGCUCCAAGUGGGUGGUAAGUUUCAUCUAAAGCUAAAUACCGGCGGGAGACCGAUAGCGCACAAGUAGAGUGAUCGAAAGAUGAAAAGCACUUUGAAAAUAGAGUCAAAAAGUACGUGAAAUUGUUGAAAGGGAAGCGCUUGAGACCAGACUCAGGCCCGGGCAAACACCGCGCCCCCCGGGGCCGUGCAAUUGCCUGGGGCUGGGCCAGCAUCAGUCGGCGUGGCGGGACAAAGGCGGGGGGAAUGUGGCUCCCCUCGGGGAGUGUUAUCAGCCCCGUGCUCAAUGCCGCCGACGCCGACUGAGGACCGCGCCUCGGCUAGGAUGCUGGCUUAAUGGCCUUCAGCGACCCGUCUUGAAACACGGACCAAGGAGUCUAACAUCUAUGCGAGUGUUUGGGCGCCAAACCCUUGCGCGGAAUGAAAGUGAGCGGAGGUGGGAACCCCCCCUGCGGGGCGCACCAUCGACCGAUCCUGAUGUCUUCGGAUGGAUUUGAGUAGGAGCAUAGCUGUUGGGACCCGAAAGAUGGUGAACUAUGCCUGAAUAGGGUGAAGCCAGAGGAAACUCUGGUGGAGGCUCGCAGCGGUUCUGACGUGCAAAUCGAUCGUCAAAUUUGGGUAUAGGGGCGAAAG